rnacentral:rRNA from 1 species
AAUGGAGGAAACUCUGAUGCAGCAACGCCGCGUGAGGGAAGAAGGUUUUCGGAUUGUAAACCUCUGUUUUCGGUGAAGAAAAAAAUGACGGUAGCCGAAGAGGAAGCCACGGCUAACUACGUGCCAGCAGCCGCGGUAAUACGUAGGUGGCAAGCGUUGUCCGGAUUUACUGGGUGUAAAGGGUGCGCAGGCGGGACUGCAAGUUGGAUGUGAAAUGCCGGGGCUUAACCCCGGAGCUGCAUCCAAAACUGUAGUUCUUGAGUGAAGUAGAGGUAAGCGGAAUUCCGAGUGUAGCGGUGAAAUGCGUAGAUAUUCGGAGGAACACCAGUGGCGAAGGCGGCUUACUGGGCUUUAACUGACGCUGAGGCACGAAAGCAUGGGGAGCAAA